rnacentral:lncRNA from 1 species
UUUUGUUCUCUUUAUUGCAACUAUCUUCUCUAUUGUAUACUUAUAGGAUGAAACCAAGUAGAUCUGAAAUAGGGCCAAACUAUCUCAAAAACCCAAGACCCUUCUAAUCCAUAACAACAUAAAGCCUUAUCACAAAAUAGGAUAAAAUAAAUUAGAAUAAAAUUGAACAAAACUAAAAAAAAAUAGGACAUGAAAGAAAAAAUUGAGUAAAUAAAAACAAAAUAUAACAGAAUUGAAUAAAAAGAUACAAAACCAAACUUUACUAAGAAAAAGGAUUCGAAGCCAUACUUGAUCAGAUGCCCCAAAAUGCCUUGGCCAGUCCUAUU